GGCUACCAUACUUCUUCGCGAUAUCGAUAGUAGUCGCUACGUUCAUACGUUCACUACAAAACAAAAUACUCCACGUAUUUCGCGUUAAAGCGGACCUGUGUAAAAGCCGGUUUCUGCGAUUUAUAGACGGCAGCAAAACCUCGUCAAAAAGAGAGUAAAAGCAGCGAAAUGGUGGCAAACGGAGUCUCUAGAGGUCGGCCAGGCCGGACACCACAAUUUCUAACGUUAGGCCUCCUUGUUGUUAUUUGUAUUUUAGCUUUUAAUUACUGGAAUGUGUCAUCACGAAGCCGACUUCUGCAGCGACAAGUGCAAGAAAUGACGGCGACACUCGAAGAAUUGGCAAUGAAAAAGGUUCAUCUGGAGAAAAGAAGCGAAGCACUCCAAAGCCAGAUAGGAGAUGCCAACAAAGUGAACACUGUUUUAAAAACUGAAAAAGAAUCCUGUAUUAGAGAGAAAGAAGAUAUUCAGGCUUUAAAAGAAGAAGUUGGGUCCCAAGCGGAAUCUUUGCGGAAAGAGAAAGACCUUGCAGUAACCUCAUUGGCACAAUUCAGGAUAAAUGCCUCCAAGACUGUUGAAUUGCUCAUGGAUAUGAAAACUAAAUAUGAAACAUUAAGAACAGAACACGAGCAGAUCCAGGAAGCAUCGCGGCGGGAAGGACAAGAAAAAGAACAGGCCAUCCAAGCCAUCCAACAGAAUGCCAAUAAUCGCUUGGAGAUAUGUAAUUCCCAGAAGCAAGAGCUCAACAGGAUCAUAAGCAACCUUCAGAAGGAGUUCUCUGUCAUGCAACAACAGAGGGGUGGACAGCAAGUAGUUGCAGGGAAUGAUCAGGCAGCAUACAUUCAACAACAGCAACUUCUACAACAACAACAACAACAACAGCAGCAACAAGAACAGCAACAAGAACAGCAACAGCAAGAACAGCAGCAGCAAUUACAGAAUCAACAAGGACUACAACAGCAGAAUGGUCUAAAUGCUCAACAACUUGCUUGGAUGCAGAGGGAACAAUAUCGUCAGCAGCAUCAAAACCAGCAACAACAGCAGCAACCGGAACAACAAGACCAACAGCAGCAACAUAUGUUGUAUGAUCAAAAGUAUCAGCAACAACAACAGGAACAGAUUGAACAGCAAGCACAAGAAGAACAAAGGCAAGAAGGUGAACAACAAAUGGAAAGGCCAGGUCAGGCAGAUCCAGGCCCAGUCCAGAUGGAGGCCAACCAAGAGACCCAGAAAGAAGAGGACAAACAGCCCCAGAUGUUCCCAGACCGAGAACAGCAGCCGGAGGAUCAGCAGCAGGUCCAGGGACCGGUCCCAGACCAGGGUCAGGUAGAUAGAGAAGCCAAUGAUAUCGACAAUGAUGUACAAGAUCCAGAUCAAGCAAAGCAAGAAACCAAUGAACAGGAAGCUCAACAACAGGACGAAGAAGAUAGUCAAUUGAGUGAUAUAGACGAACAAGGGGAACAGCAGAUUGACCAAGGACAAGUACAAGCUCCACAACCUGUAGGUAAUGAUAAGGAAGGAGAUGAAGAUCAAGCCGGAGAGAGUAGUUUAUCAGAGGUUGGAAAGGUAGAAGAAGGAGAGAAUGUGAAAGGAGAGAUAGUUCUCCAGGAAGAAGACGAUGUGGUGGAAGAUGACGCGGUGGACGAAGAAAGGUUGGAGGUCGGGAACAUUGACCCUGGACAGCAAGGUGAUGAAGAGAAACAAGUAAGUGAUCCCUCUUAUGACUAUUCUGAUGAUGAGAAUUCUUCUGCAAAUGAUAAUGAUGGUGGGGAAGACAGCCCAGAGGAUGAUGGAUCUAACGAUGGCAAUCAAGACUCUGACAUGGAAGAUGAAGACCAAGGAGCUAUUCCUGUAGACGACCAGGGAAAUGAGAUCCAGGAAGAUUACCCUGAUGGCAAUAUCAAUGAUGACCAAAUUGAUCAGGAUAUGGAAGAGGACUAUCAGCGGGCUGACCAAGGAGGGGAUGGUGAUUUAGAUGAAGAUGACGAUGACGAUGAAGGAAAGGGUGUGAACUAUGCUGAAGGGGAUCAAGGAAUGGUACCAGAUUACCCUGAGGAUGACCAAGGAAGGGUCGGGGACUAUGAUGAGAAUGACCAAGAAAGGGGGCCAGACUACGCAGAAGGUGACCAAGAAAUAGAGGGUAACCAAGGAAGGGAGCCUGACUACCCAGAGGAAGACCAACAAAUAGAUUCUGACUAUGUCAGUGAUGAUGAGGCGGAUGGUGAACAGGAGCUCGAAGACAGAAGCAAGAGUCAAGGAAAGAGCGAUAUGGACAACCCUGAGGCGUUAAGCAAUGAAAAUGAUGGUCAAGUGCAUGAGGAUACCAGACAGGAAGAAGUCGGAAACUACGCGUAAACCAAAGGAAUCCAAUUGGAUCCUAAUCCACCGAUACAGGAUAUGGGAGCUGUCAGAGUAGUUGAUGAUGGAAAGGAAUUAGAGGAAGAAGAAAGAAUAGAAGAAGAAAUCGACAACAGGAUACAAGAGGAAGACCAAUACUAAAGAUUUUUCAAAUUAUGAAAUUUAUAUCAUUUAUAUAUUAUUAUAUUAGGUUAUUAUCAAAUUGGUCAGUAAUAUAAUUCAGUUCAGCUACUGGCUUAUUCCUCAAUUUUUCAUCAAAAUGUGGUGUUUUCAGAAUCCAUAAAAAUGGCAUCACUAGAUGGUCUUUAGUGACAAAUUUUGAGCUGGUUAUUCAAUAAGUGUCAACGAGUGCAACAUCGUUACAGUAACUACAGGUAAAAUUGAAAGUUCAAAGAGUAUAGUACUUCACUUACUAUGACUUGGCCGGUAUUCAAUUCUAAGUAUUGAUUUGUGAGUAUUUUACUUUGCGUAUUUUCUUGGCUAAGCAAAAUACUGACUAUUAAUCAUUGUGACGUUAUAAAGUUUGAGCGAAAUAACGUGCAGUGUAUGUAUCCAUCUGUAUGCAGAAUGUAUGACUGGACGCAUCACAUUUGUAAACUGCAUGCAAGCCAAGUCUGGUAGGCUGCUGACUUAGAUUUAAGCAAAAUACUUAGCCAAAAAAUGCAAUUCGAAUACCAAAGAUGGUUAAAUAUUUUGCUUGAGCAAAAUACUGAGUAAAAAACCUAAUAUUCUGGCUUGAGUACGAAUCGAAUACCGACCCUGGUAUUUUUGCAAAUGAUUACAAACUAUCGGCCUACUGUGGAUAUAUAUAUUAGUCAUACCUUACCUUUGAAAAAAACACCAACAAUUUUAUUCUGUAGUUAUUUCUGGUUUUUUUUUUACAUACCUGUAUUGCUGAAAUUUCCCCAAUAAGACACAACUAAAUACUGAUGUCGCCAGAUGAACAUGACACUUCUGAAAAUUCACCAUAUUUUAUAUAAAUAUGGAAAAAGGGUGAUAGUAUUUGGAAUGAGAAAAUGAUAUUACAUCCAGGUUUUUUUUUCCAAGAACAUAUUUGAAUUAAUGUGGAUAAACAGAACAUUUUAUCUUGAUAGAUCCCAUUAUAAUUUCUAUUCUUGGUUUUUAGUAAAUAUAUUUAUAAAUGUGAUGUUGCAGUAUUAGGGGAUGAAUAGAGUAAAAAUCAAUCCCAGCACAUUUAAAAAGGGUACUUAUCAUUUUUAGGGGUACAAGUAGAAGGAAAUUAGUACCAUUAAGGAUUUUGAGAAUGAUACAAAUAUGUUUAUGUUGAUUUUUCUUUCACUUUAUAUUGAUAUGAUUAUAUAUUUAACUUGUAUUGCAAUAAUAUGUACAAUGUUAAAGAAUGUUGGUGAUUUGCUUCUGUCUUGCUGCUGCAUAUAAGAGAUCUGGUGGGUGUUUGGUGAGAAAUUUUUCGGUAUGGGCAAGUUGUCAUACUCUGACAGUUACCAUAGUAACUAACAGUCGUGAGCUUUGUGUUCCUCAGUCAAGAAAAAACAAGGAUUUCACUGAAAUUGUGAAAGCUGAGCAAAUUAAUAGUCAAUGCUGACAAUUUUCAUGGACUUGAUCCUUAUCAUGCUCUUCAUUCUGAAAAAGGAAUGAUUGGUUAGAUUUCUAGAAACCUCUUCAUCAUUAACGUCUACUUCAAGGAAUUGUCAACCUUUUAGAGAUCUGAUUUGACACAUAAAAUAUACCAAGUUUGUAGAAGUAUUAUCGAUGACUUAUUUCAUAUGGAUGUUGUAAAUUUUAAGCUAAAUGCAGAAUAUUGAUGGUGAUUGACAGAGUCUAUGAGCCUGCUUAAUAUUUUACAUCUCAUUUUUAUAUUGUUAUUUUUUUUCAAUCAUCUUAUGUAAUUUUCAUUUUUCUAAUGUUUCCAUUCCUUUUUCUCUGUACUCCUUUCUACUCAAUUUUCCAGUAUUCAUAUUGCUCUUAUUUUCUCUAAUUCCUUCUCUUUCUCCCACUGCUCUUCUUUUUUAUUCUAUUCCUUCCUUUCAUAUUCUGCACUUAUUGUAUUUUUGCCUGCACAUGUUGUACAUAUGAAUGGAUUUAUAGCAUCUAGGUUAUGAAUCUAUACAUGAAUUUGUACACAUCUCUCACGUUUCAUGUUCAGACUGGCCAAUCACGAGAUUGUAAAUAUAAGUGAUUUUUCAAAUUUGAUUGUAACUUGGUAAGAAAUUUGGUGAAGCCUCUUUGUAAUGUGUGUGCAAUUUGAUACAUAAGAUUAGAUCAUAAUACAUAUCAUGCUCUGUAUAUACUUGAUAAUCAAGUUUUUGCAGGUAGACAUGUUACUAAACAUGUCCUUCAAAAAACGACGGCAUUUUGUGACUUUAUUCAUUUUUUAUUUACCAUUUUGGUGAUUAUUGUUUAUUUUAUUACUUUUUACUUAUUCAUUUUUAUGAUAACUUUUAUUGUUAUUAUUAUUAUUAUUAUAGUUAUUACAGAUUGUGUAAUCAAUGAAAUAUUAGAGAAAAAUGGAUCAUGAUUUGAGGUUAAAUAUGGAGAUUAAUUAGAAGUGUGCAACAUAUUGUAAAGCAAAUGAAGUACACAAUUUGUGAAAUUAUAUUCCUUGAUCUUUUUUUUUAUAUGAUUUCCUUGCAGAGCAGUCUUUCAGUGCAUGUUAUAACUUGAAUUCUUAGUUUGUCAAUUUAGUUUAGGCUUGUCAUAUAUCACAGAGUAUAAUCAAACAGUGAAUAAUAGUAAAAUACAAAACAAUCUUCUUUUUUUUAAAAUGACAAUAGAAUAGUUGGUAGAGCAUUAUAUUAUUUCAUUCAUAAUUUGGCCAACAUUAUAUUUAGCAGAUAGGACAGUAUAUUCAUCCCUUCAUUAAUUAGUGGGCCAACAUGUAGAAAAAGUGUUCAUUUUAAUUAUCUUUUAAAACAGAACUUUAAUUUAAAUCCAUGCAACUCAGAAUUGGCUACGUGUGUAGCAGACUGAAUGAAUAAUGCAUGAACAUACAUACAUGAACAUAUAUCUAUCUUCAAUGUGUCGCCUAUUACAGACGGUCUAUGUAAUGUAUUCAUGCAUAAAUGUUUGGUGUAACUCCUUAGUGGUUUAUACAUUGAUGAGGUGCAGAAAUUAAAGCAGUGUCAUUCACAGAGAGCGAACACUUUAAAACAAUUUUAACAGUCAUUGUAUUCAUGGGCAGGAUUUAAAACAUAUUUUCAAGACAAUAAACUUCAACCUAGAUAUAUGCUUUUAGCUUUUUUUGCUACUAGUGACCCAAGAAUACAUGGUAAUGCGAAAUAGGAACAUUUUAUGUCAGUAAUGAACAUUUGAAAUUAGAUUUAAGUAUAAAGAUGUAGUUCUUAUGUUUUGUUGCAGUUUUAAUGCAAUAUAAAUGUACAAUAGGGAAUUUAUAAUAUAUGAAUGUAGUAUAUGUAUGCUUCCAUAGUUGAUUUGUAAAGUCAGAGCUUUUUUUUUUUACACUGCAAGUUACCAAAAACAAAUUCUCCUUGGUCAUAUAGAGAAUUUUCCAGUGGUUGGCUCCCCAUUCUCAUGUUCUUUGCCAAAAAAACGCUUAAACAAUGGAAAUUGUUCAUUCUUCAUUUCUAUUUAAGUGUAUUUGAUUAUUCAAACAUUUAGACCUGUAGAUAUUACAUCCAUGGCUGAUUACAAACCAAAACAUGUACAGAGCAAAACCUCAAAUUGAUGAUUGUGCAUUUAUGUUAUUUUUUAUACAUUUAUACAUGUUAAAUGUGUCAAUGUGAAAUUAUGCCUGGUGGGUGUUUCAUAAAGCUGUUCGAGAGUUACGCACAACUUUACGCACGACUGGAACAUGUUCUUAGGUCAUAAAUCAAAUAUAUAGGAUAUCACAUAGAACAAGAAAGGAUCAGUAGUCGUGCUUAAAGUCAUUCGUAUCUUACGAACAGCUUUUUGAAACACCCACCUGUUAUCCAUGUAUCGCAGCUUGAAAUUCAUAUUGGGACCUUUUUAUCGUUUAUUGUGCCUUAGUUAAGUCUUGUUCGGGUACGACUCGGCAAACCACCGCAAAAUUCCAAGAGGCCGUUUGCAUAUAGAUUACUGCCGACCCAGUAGCAUCAACUGAGCUUAUAGUUGAAAUAGCACUUUAAAGCACAUGAAAUGAUGAUGAUAUUAGAGUCUUUUACGAAACCACAGCAAUGGCUCCAAACAAAUCCUUUAAUCAGGCAUGUGACUUCUGUUGUUAGCCAUUAAAAUUGUAGACAAUUUGGCUAUUUGAGAACUGUUUAGAGCCAGUUGUCAUGGUGAUGAAUGGCUGUGACAUCACUCUUCCGUACUAAAUGUCAUUUGGAAUCAUAAAUAGUGCAGCGUUUUCCUGCCGAGUCCAAAAUGAAAUGAGGUAUUUUAGUUCAUUGUGAUAUACUAAAAAAAAAAUUCUAUUUGAGGCUAGAAUGUGCGGACUGAAAUAUUUUUUUGUUAAAACAGUUCUCACUUGUAUUUUAUUUGUGUAAAGUUAGGUUUUUCCCUAUGACAUUGUUUUUUGUGCAUUUAUGAAUUUACAAUAUAUAACAGCAUAUUAUUCAAGACCAUUUUUUAUUCCAAUUUCAUGAAUAGUUUCGAUUUUUAGCUUUAAGUGAGAAGUGAAUAAAUGUAGUCUUUAUUAGGAAGUUAAAAUGCUCAAUCGCAUAUAUCUUACCGGCCUUUGCAGUUAUUUAAAAUGUAGGAUGUACUUCUUAAAUUUGAAACCUGUUCCAUUUAUAUAUAUGUGGAAUUUCAGAAGCAUAAAGCAAUGAAAUUUGGGUACACUGAUCAUAUUUCAUGUUUCUUUUAUUUUUAUUUCACUUGUUAUUAAAGUCUGUUUACAGCAAAUUAUUGUAGUAAAAGCAAAUAUUGAGUAUUGAUAUUAUUUUGUUGUCAUUAGUGUCAUAGCAUGCAUAUUCAUCUGUAAAGUUACAUCACUGGGUCAUAUAUUAUUGCUUAUGUAAUUUGUCCCAAUGUUAUUUAAUAAAUUCCUGUCUUUUACAAAGAAAA